UGGGGAAUAUUGGACAAUGGGCGCAAGCCUGAUCCAGCAACGCCGCGUGUGUGAAGAAGGCCUUCGGGUUGUAAAGCACUUUUAUCAGGAGCGAAACGCUGUCGGCUAAUACCCGGCGGAACUGACGGUACCUGAGGAAUAAGCACCGGCUAGCUUCGUGCCAGCAGCCGCGGUAAUACGAAGGGUGCAAGCGUUAAUCGGAAUUACUGGGCGUAAAGCGUGCGUAGGCGGUUUCUUAAGUCUGCUGUGGAAUCCCCGGGCUCAACCUGGGAAUGGCAGUGGAUACUGGGAGGCUAGAGUGUGUCAGAGGGUGGUGGAAUUCCCGGUGUAGCGGUGAAAUGCGUAGAGAUCGGGAGGAACAUCAGUGGCGAAGGCGGCCACCUGGGACAACACUGACGCUGAGGCACGAAAGCGUGGGGAGCAAACAGGAUUAGGAUACCCUGGUAGUCCACGCCCUAAACGAUGCGAACUGGAUGUUGGUCUCAACUCGGAGAUCAGUGUCGAAGCUAACGCGUUAAGUUCGCCGCCUGGGGAGUACGGUCGCAAGACUGAAACUCAAAUGAAUUGACGGGGUCAUAGCUGUUUCCUG
rnacentral:rRNA from 1 species